GAUGAUUGAUCAUACCCGCCAGCUGACUAAUAUCAUAAUUAACAAAGUUGCUACCACAUCUGAGAAGUUUAAUCGUAAAAUUUGCCAGCAGUAUGAUGGCAUUGUCACAAAGAUCUCUACAAUUGCUGCAUCAACCUUUGCUCUUGUGGAACUGCAGAACUAUGUAGACAAGCUACGAAGUGUUGAGAU